rnacentral:antisense_RNA from 1 species
CGUUAUGGCAGCUGUGCGUGGGAGACCUUCGGGUCUGCUGGGUUUUACUUCUUGCCCCGGUCUUGCACACCUACGUACAGUUGCCGCCCUC